AAAUUGAAGAGUUUGAUCAUGGCUCAGAUUGAACGCUGGCGGCAGGCCUAACACAUGCAAGUCGAACGGUAACAGGAAGCAGCUUGCUGCUUUG
rnacentral:rRNA from 26 species